rnacentral:rRNA from 1 species
GAAGACUCACUUGACUAGCUGAGAGGAGGUGCAUGGCCGUCGUCAGUUCGUACUGUGAAGCAUCCUGUUAAGUCAGGCAACGAGCGAGACCCACGCCAACAGUUGCCAGCUCGUCCUCCGGGGAUGGUGGGGACACUGUUGGGACCGCCUCUGCUAAAGAGGAGGAAGGAAUGGGCAACGGUAGGUCAGCAUGCCCCGAAUUAUCUGGGCUACACGCGGGCUACAAUGGGUGGGACAAUGGGUAUCGACACCGAAAGGUGAAGGCAAUCUCCUAAACCCAUCCGUAGUUCGGAUUGUGGGCUGCAACUCGCCCACAUGAAGCUGGAAUCUGUAGUAAUCGUGUCUCAAAGUGGCACGGUGAAUAUGUCCCUGCUCCUU